rnacentral:rRNA from 1 species
GGACUACCAGGGUAUCUAAUCCCGUUUGCUCCCCUGGCUUUCGCGCCUCAGCGUCAGAAGAGAUCCAGUCCGUCGCUUUCGCCACCGGCGUUCCUUCCGAUAUCAACGCAUUUCACCGCUCCACCGGAAGUUCCACAGACCCCUACCUCCCUCGAGCUCUCCAGUAUCAAAGGCACUGCGACAGUUGAGCUGCCGGAUUUCACCCCUGACUUAGAAAGCCGCCUACGCGCCCUUUAUGCCCAGUGAUUCCGAAUAACGUUUGCACGGUUCGUCUUACCGCGGCUGCUGGCAC